UACGGAGGGUGCAAGCGUUAUCCGGAUUCACUGGGUUUAAAGGGUGCGUAGGCGGCUUUGUAAGUCAGUGGUGAAAGCCCGGAGCUCAACUCCGGAACUGCCAUUGAUACUGCUUAGCUUGAAUCAGGUCGAGGUGGAUGGAAUAAUACAUGUAGCGGUGAAAUGCUUAGAUAUGUAGUAGAACACCGAUUGCGAAGGCAGUUCACCAGGCCUGUAUUGACACUGAGGCACGAAAGCGUGGGGAGCAAACAGG
rnacentral:rRNA from 1 species